rnacentral:sRNA from 1 species
UUUUAGCCCCGGGUGAAGCGGCAUCCUUUUUUUUAUUUCAUGGUUUUCUUUCCUGAAAAAAUUUUCUUGAAAAAAAAGAUAUAGCGGAACACGGGUAGAGUU